GCUGAGAUCAAGGGUCCCGCCACAUCUGAGGGAUGAGAGAUAAACAUUAAGAGAUAAAUGAACGAAUAUGCACCACAAAUUAGAUCAACUAUAGAAUCCCGUUACAUGUGUUCCGUUACUCCCCAAGCCUGACCACACGACUCCAGUGGUUAAAUCUGUCUUCUGAAGCAAUGUGAUAGAAGGCAGUGGUGGCUCAGCAGUUAAGGCUCUGGGUUACUAAUCAGAAGGUUGGGGGUUCAAGCCCCAGCACUGCCAAGAUGCCACUGUUGGGCCCUUGAGCAAGGCCCUUGACCUUAUCUGCUCCAGGGGCUCUGUAUCAUGGUUGACCCUGCACUCUGACCCCAACUUAGCUGGGAUAUGUGGAAAAAAAAAAGAAUUUCACUGUAUAUGUGCAAAUGUAUAAUGUGUGAUAAAAAAAUUAAUCAUUCACAUCUGGUAUGGUGUAAGUAAAUGAUGAGAUAAUUAUAAUUUUUUUGGGUGAACUAUCCCUUUAAGUGAUAUUAAUGAUAGAUGCCAAUGUUAUGUAUAUG